UUUCGGGGUGAAAAUGCGUGCUUUGUGAGUGAAGCGUGUUAUAUUUGGGGUAGAAAUGUGUUAUUUCCCAGCGAAAAGUGGUAUUUUCGGGAAGGAAGUGCAGAAUUUUUGGGAGUAUUUUCGGGGUGAAAAUGCAUGAUUUUCGAAAGAAAAGU
rnacentral:lncRNA from 7 species